AGUGAACGCUGGCGGUAGGCCUAACACAUGCAAGUCGAACGGCAGCACAGUAAGAGCUUGCUCUUACGGGUGGCGAGUGGCGGACGGGUGAGGAAUACAUCGGAAUCUACUUUUUCGUGGAGGAUAACGUAGGGAAACUUACGCUAAUACCGCAUACGACCUACGGGUGAAAGCAGGGGAUCUUCGGACCUUGCGCGAUUGAAUGAGCCGAUGUCGGAUUAGCUAGUUGGCGGGGUAAAGGCCCACCAAGGCGACGAUCCGUAGCUGGUCUGAGAGGAUGAUCAGCCACACUGGAACUGAGACACGGUCCGGACUCCUACGGGAGGCAGCAGUGGGGAAUAUUGGACAAUGGGCGCAAGCCUGAUCCAGCCAUACCGCGUGGGUGAAGAAGGCCUUCGGGUUGUAAAGCCCUUUUGUUGGGAAAGAAAAGCAGCAGGUUAAUACCCCGCUGUUCUGACGGUACCCAAAGAAUAAGCACCGGCUAACUUCGUG
rnacentral:rRNA from 1 species